CUGGCGGCAUGCCUAAUACAUGCAAGUCGAACGAGGAAUCGAGAAAGCUUGCUUUUUUGAGGAAUCAGUGGCGAACGGGUGAGUAACACGUAGGUAACCUGCCCAGAUCACGGGGAUAACGGUUGGAAACGACAGCUAAGACCGGAUAGGUGGUGACGAGGCAUCUUGUCAUCAUGAAAAGAGCUGAAAGGCUCUGGAGCUGGAUGGACCUGCGGCGCAUUAGCUAGUUGGUGAGGGUAACGGCCCACCAAGGCGAUGAUGCGUAGCCGGCCUGAGAGGGUGCACGGCCACAUUGGGACUGAGACACGGCCCAAACUCCUACGGGAGGCAGCAGUAGGGAAUUUUCGUCAAUGGGGGGAACCCUGAACGAGCAAUGCCGCGUGAGUGAAGAAGGUCUUCGGAUCGUAAAGCUCUGUUGUAAGAGAAAAAGGGCGCAUAUAGGAAAUGAUAUGCGAUUGAUGGUAUCUUACCAGAAAGCCACGGCUAACUACGUGCC
rnacentral:rRNA from 1 species